rnacentral:rRNA from 1 species
CAGGACGAACGCUGGCGGCGUGCCUAAUACAUGCAAGUCGAACGGUCUUUCUAUGGAAGCUUGCUUCCACUGAGAAGAUAGUGGCGAACGGGUGAGUAACACGUGGGUAACCUGCCCAUAAGAGGGGGAUAACAUCCGGAAACGGGUGCUAAUACCGCAUAGUUUUCUUGAUCGCAUGAUCGGGAAAGGAAAGACGGCCUUUGUGCUGUCGCUUAUGGAUGGACCCGCGGCGUAUUAGUUAGUUGGUGAGGUAACGGCUCACCAAGACGAUGAUACGUAGCCGACCUGAGAGGGUGAUCGGCCACAUUGGGACUGAGACACGGCCCAAACUCCUACGGGAGGCAGCAGUAGGGAAUCUUCCGCAAUGGACGAGAGUCUGACGGAGCAACGCCGCGUGAGUGAAAGAAGGUUUUCGGAUCGUAAAACUCUGUUGUCAGAGAAGAACAAGUUGGAGAGUAACUGCUCCAGCCUUGACGGUAUCUGACCAGAAAGCCACGGCUAACUACGUGCCAGCCGCCGC